rnacentral:lncRNA from 1 species
AAAUAGAAAGACAUAUAAGUGACUAAAUGAAACAUCCUAUCAUGUUAUGACACAACUAGACCAUCCGGACUUAGAAUGAAUGUCGAUCUAGGGUGGGUUGUGCACUUGUGGUGGCCUCUACUGCUUUGCAAAGUCAUUGCCAAUGGGUUUCACCCUACCACACACAAGUGUUAGUCCGUUACCGCGCAAUAGGCCUUCAAGAAGCGCCUACACUAGGACCUCACACUACUCUCACCAUAUGCGCCAAUCCUCUCUA